rnacentral:tRNA from 1 species
UGCCCGAUCGUCUAGUGGUAGGACGUUGGUUUCUGGCACCAAAAACUGGGGUUCGAAUCCCUGUCGGGCAG